UAAUGCUUAUACAUUUCAAGCUGGGUCUUUGUGUAUUCCAAAAUGAAUAAUUAAAAAAUAUAUAUGUUAGCGUACAAAAGAUGCUAGCAGCAUGCUUGUUAGUGGGAGAUACCAGAGUUUAAUUCAUAAAAUCUUUCAAAAUGUGUGUUCAGGCAACUGUUGAUUAUUAAUUUCUGCUGUGUGUAAUAUUACACCGAACUGUAAUGAGAGCUGCUUGUAAAUUUUCUGUCCUGUAAUCAGUUCUAUUAAUGGAAUAUCUUGCUUCACAUGAUUCUUUUAGCAGAGAUUAUCAACUAUUCAUAAUAAUUGUUAUUGUUCAUGUAGCUAUUCUUACUGUGAAUCAGAGUGACUUGUCCAUGCCUAUUCUUCAAAUCUUGGCAGAUCAUGUCAUCCUCACCACCACUAUCAAAUGUGUCUGGUACAGUGCGCACCACAGGUCAAGUUUAUAAAUGUUUUAAACAGAAUGCUAAUUUAUAAACUUAUUGUGUAAUGGAUCAGUAAUCAGACCUCCAACCUCUUGAGCACUUUCCUGUAUAUUUGAUUGCCCUUUUUUGUAGGGUUGUAUUUUUACCCCCUUUGAAACAGAGCCAUACCCAUGUCAAAGCAGUGACAUCAGUCACUCUGAUCAGCAGACUAUAGGAGCUGCUUUCAAGAUGCCAAGCAGUAAAUGAUUAGUUUUGUCUGACUCAACAUGUCAUGCUCAUCAGAUCAAAUUUUACUGUUGUAUGAUGCUAGCCAGUGCAGUUAAUACUGAAGAAUACUGUCUGGGUGUAUUUGCAACUCUGUGAAAGAAAUAAUGGGUUUUGUGCUGCUUUUAACACCCCACAAACACAUCCUCUUGAUUAUAACUCCCAUUAUUUUCAUGCUCUCUUUUUUCAUUCUUG